GGCUGGUGUGAGUGCAGCAGUGUUUGCAACUAAUUGAUCACAACCAGUUAUAGAGUUCUUUGUUCCUUCUCCACUCCCACUGCUUUACUUGGCUAGUCUAAA
ensembl:Y_RNA Y_RNA Y RNA